NNAUAGUCUAUACAAAUAGCAGGGCCUUUCUCAAGACCCGGAGAUCAAUUUUUGGGUGCCUUCUCUGGAGAGGAGGCAG
rnacentral:snRNA from 1 species